rnacentral:rRNA from 1 species
AUAAACGCUGGCGGCGCACAUAAGACAUGCAAGUCGAACGAGAAUCGUUAAAACGGAUUGAAGAUUUAUCAGAUUGAAGUUUUAACAAUGGUUCUAGUGGCGGACUGGUGAGUAACACGUAAGCAACCUGCCUAUUAGAGGGGAAUAACAGUGAGAAAUCAUUGCUAAUACCGCAUAUGCUCACAGUACCACAUGGUACAGUGAGGAAAGGAGUAAUCCGCUAAUAGAUGGGCUUGCGUCUGAUUAGAUAGUUGGUGGGGUAACGGCCUACCAAGUCAACGAUCAGUAGCCGGACUGAGAGGUUGAACGGCCACAUUGGGACUGAGAUACGGCCCAGACUCCUACGGGAGGCAGCAGUCGGGAAUAUUGCGCAAUGGAGGAAACUCUGACGCAGUGACGCCGCGUGCAGGAAGAAGGUUUUCGGAUUGUAAACUGCUUUAGUCAAGGAAGAUACAAGACAGUACUUGAAGAAUAAGCACCGGCUAACUAUGUGCCAGCCGCAGC